rnacentral:rRNA from 1 species
UACGUAGGGCGCAAGCGUUGUCCGGAAUUAUUGGGCGUAAAGAGCGUGUAGGCGGCCAGACAAGUCUGCUGUGAAAACUCGAGGCUCAACCUCGAGCUGUCGGUGGAAACUGUCUGGCUAGAGUCCGGAAGAGGAGAGUGGAAUUCCCAGUGUAGAGGUGAAAUUCGUAGAUAUUGGGAAGAACACCGGUGGCGAAGGCGGCUCACUGGGCUCGUAACUGACGCUCAUGCACGCAGCGUGGGGGAUCAAACAGG